AGUCNACGCGUUGGCCCAUUGAUUGAUGGUGCUUGCACCUGAUUGAUUUUGGUCGCCAACGAGUGGCGGACGGGUGAGUAACACGUAGGUAACCUGCCCAGAAGCGGGGGACAACAUUUGGAAACAGAUGCUAAUACCGCAUAACANCGUUGUUCGCAUGAACAACGCUUAAAAGAUGGCUUCUCGCUAUCACUUCUGGAUGGACCUGCGGUGCAUUAGCUUGUUGGUGGGGUAACGGCCUACCAAGGCGAUGAUGCAUAGCCGAGUUGAGAGACUGAUCGGCCACAAUGGGACUGAGACACGGCCCAUACUCCUACGGGAGGCAGCAGUAGGGAAUCUUCCACAAUGGGCGCAAGCCUGAUGGAGCAACACCGCGUGAGUGAAGAAGGGUUUCGGCUCGUAAAGCUCUGUUGUUAAAGAAGAACACGUAUGAGAGUAACUGUUCAUACGUUGACGGUAUUUAACCAGAAAGUCACGGCUAACUACGUGCCAGCAGCCGCGGUAAUACGUAGGUGGCAAGCGUUAUCCGGAUUUAUUGGGCGUAAAGAGAGUGCAGGCGGUUUUCUAAGUCUGAUGUGAAAGCCUUCGGCUUAACCGGAGAAGUGCAUCGGAAACUGGAUAACUUGAGUGCAGAAGAGGGUAGUGGAACUCCAUGUGUAGCGGUGGAAUGCGUAGAUAUAUGGAAGAACACCAGUGGCGAAGGCGGCUACCUGGUCUGCAACUGACGCUGAGACUCGAAAGCAUGGGUUAGCGAACAGGAUUAGAUACCCUGGUAGUCCAUGCCGUAAACGAUGAGUGCUAGGUGUUGGAGGGUUUCCGCCCUUCANUGCCGGAGCUAACGC
rnacentral:rRNA from 2 species